rnacentral:lncRNA from 10 species
CCAGCAACUUAACACCUGGAGAAAGAAUUUUUAUUCAGAAUUCAAAAGAGUAAUGUAUGUCCUGAAAAAUAUGUAUUUAAUAGAACAUGGUUGGGGCUUUGAAAAUUUAAUCUAAAAUCCUAAUCUAAGCUUCCAGUUGGAAGAUAUUAGAAGACAUGCUGUAUCCACCUUUCCUAUUUCCUUUCCAUCUUUUCCAAUUUUCAUUUUAUUCUAUGACAUAUUUUCUCAGCAUAACUCACCUCAACUUAUAGAUUCUCAACAUUAGAAGAAAAGAUAAAUUCAGAACAUUCAAGACAUUUAAUAGAUUUAAUUAUUAGAUAUCUUAUGCAUAUUAUGUUACCUGUAACAUUCCAUUAAAAAAAUGCCCAUUUCCCUGUUUGUUGAUUCACAUUAAAAACUAUUAAAAUGUUUCUUACAUGCAAGACCUUAUUCUGUGUAUUCCAGGAUACAUACAAAUAGGUUUUCUAGUUUCAAGUGGCUCGUAGUAAUGCAGGAGCUUUACAAUUAUUUUUUCAAUAACUAAGCACAAAAGCCUCUGAAAUUUGAAAUUUAGAAUGAGAUACAAAGACCCUGAGUGGAUUCCUUUUAAUUAAAAUGCAAAAACCUUGUGAAAUUAAAGUCUGACCAUAGGAAUAUGAAGAGUAUCUGUUUAUCAAACAGGUUAUUUUAAACAAAAUGCAUAUUUUUCAAUUAAAUAAAGAGUUUAAAGUAUACUCUAAAUAAAAAAGGCUUGGAAAACACUGUGUAAACCUUCUCUAAUACAGAUUUGAGAACAGAAUUUAAAUUUCUAAACUUCCACGACUUUUUGAAAUUAGAGAUAAGCUCUUGUUAUAUUGCCAAGCUUGGUCUUAAACUCCUGGGCUCAAGAAAUUCUCCUGGCUUCAUCUCUUGAAUAGGUGGGACUACAUGGACAUGAUACCAUGUCUAGUUAAAUUUCCACAAUUUCUAAUAUUAUUUUAGUCUAAUUAUAGAGCCACGAAUAAAAAUAAGGAAAUAGCUCUCUGCAAAAAUAGUGUAUGAUAUCAAAAUAUGUGUACAAGAAAUAAAAAAAACCACAUGCUAUGUGUAACAGAGUGAUUCCAUGAUUUCUAUGAUAAGUCAUCUGAUGUAUUAAAGAUUCAUUUAAACAGAGGUAUUAUUAGUCACACUCAUAUGAUAUACAACUCAAAGUAAAAACACUCAAAUAAGCCUAGACCAAAAUUUGUAUCUCCUCUAUUGUGGGAAAGCGUUCCCGAACACCAUUUUUCUGUCACUGUGUAUUUUCCAGCAAUUUUUUUUUUCAGAUCACACCUCUCAAAGAAUUUAUCAACUAUUUAUUAUUUGCCAAAGUAAAAAAAAAUUAAAAUUAACCCCUCCCAUUUCUUUAAAAUGGUUAUCUCUAAUAAAAGUUGUAAUACUAACAUAAAACAAUGAUAGGUAGACAACUGCUAAGUUUUAGAAGAAAAUAAUAUAAAAAAUGAGAUUCAGAGUGAGAAAAUUAAUUUCACAAGAGAGUACUCUACCUCAGAUUCCAAAGCAAACUCAUCCUCUGUCACAGGCUGUGCAACAGCAUCCGGUCUGUAG